rnacentral:rRNA from 1 species
AGAAUCAACGCUGGCGGCGUGCCUAACACAUGCAAGUCGAACGAGAAAGUGGAGCAAUCCAUGAGUAAAGUGGCGCACGGGUGAGUAACACGUGACUACCUACCCUCGAGUGGGGAAUAACCUCGGGAAACCGGGGCUAACACCGCAUAACAUCUACGGAUCAAAUGCGAAAGCAGCUUGAGGAGGGGGUCGCGGCCGAUUAGCUAGUUGGUGAGGUAAUGGCCCACCAAGGCAAUGAUCGGUAGCCGGCCUGAGAGGGCGCACGGCCACACUGGAACUGAAACACGGUCCAGACUCCUACGGGAGGCAGCAGUGGGGAAUUUUGCGCAAUGGGGGAAACCCUGACGCAGCAACGCCGCGUGGAGGAUGAAGCCCCUUGGGGUGUAAACUCCUUUCGAUCGGGACGAUUAUGACGGUACCGGAUGAAGAAGCACCGGCUAACUCUGCGCCAGCAGCCGC